rnacentral:rRNA from 1 species
UACGGGGGGAGCAAGCGUUGUUCGGAUUUACUGGGCGUAAAGGGCGCGUAGGCGGCCUCCGCAAGUCAAUUGUGAAAUCUCCGGGCUUAACUCAGAACGGCCAAGUGAAACUGUCAUGCUAGAGUGCAGAAGGGGCAAUCGGAAUUCUUGGUGUAGCGGUGAAAUGCGCAGAUAUCAGGAGGAACACCGGUGGCGAAGGCGGGUCUCUGGGCCGAUACUGACGCUGAGGAGCGAAAGCGUGGGGAGCGAACAGG